UAUUGAGUUUGAUCCUGGCUCAGAUUGAACGCUGGCGGCAUGCCUUACACAUGCAAGUCGAACGGCAGCACGGGUGCUUGCACCUGGUGGCGAGUGGCGAACGGGUGAGUAAUACAUCGGAACAUGUCCUGUAGUGGGGGAUAGCCCGGCGAAAGCCGGAUUAAUACCGCAUACGAUCUACGGAUGAAAGCGGGGGACCUUCGGGCCUCGCGCUAUAGGGUUGGCCGAUGGCUGAUUAGCUAGUUGGUGGGGUAAAGGCCUACCAAGGCGACGAUCAGUAGCUGGUCUGAGAGGACGACCAGCCACACUGGGGCUGAGACACGGCCCAGACUCCUACGGGAGGCAGCAGUGGGGAAUUUUGGACAAUGGGCGAAAGCCUGAUCCAGCAAUGCCGCGUGUGUGAAGAAGGCCUUCGGGUUGUAAAGCACUUUUGUCCGGAAAGAAAUCCUUGGCUCUAAUACAGUCGGGGGAUGACGGUACCGGAAGAAUAAGCACCGGCUAACUACGUGCCAGCAGCCGCGGUAAUACGUAGGGUGCGAGCGUUAAUCGGAAUUACUGGGCGUAAAGCGUGCGCAGGCGGUUUGCUAAGACCGAUGUGAAAUCCCCGGGCUCAACCUGGGAACUGCAUUGGUGACUGGCAGGCUAGAGUAUGGCAGAAGGGGGUAGAAUUCCACGUGUAGCAGUGAAAUGCGUAGAGAUGUGGAGGAAUACCGAUGGCGAAGGGCAGCCCCCUGGGCCAAUACUGACGCUCAUGCACGAAAGCGUGGGGAGCAAACAGGAUUAGAUACCCUGGUAGUCCACGCCCUAAACGAUGUCAAUUAGUUGUUGGGGAUUCAUUUCCCUUAGUAACGUAGCUAACGCGUGAAGUUGACCGCCUGGGGAGUACGGUCGCAAGAUUAAAACUCAAAGGAAUUGACGGGGACCCGCACAAGCGGUGGAUGAUGUGGAUUGAUUCGAUGCAACGCGAAAAACCUUACCUACCCUUGACAUGGUCGGAAUCCCGCUGAGAGGUGGGAGUGCUCGAAAGAGAACCGGCGCACAGGUGCUGCAUGGCUGUCGUCAGCUCGUGUCGUGAGAUGUUGGGUUAAGUCCCGCAACGAGCGCAACCCUUGUCCUUAGUUGCUACGCAAGAGCACUCUAAGGAGACUGCCGGUGACAAACCGGAGGAAGGUGGGGAUGACGUCAAGUCCUCAUGGCCCUUAUGGGUAGGGCUUCACACGUCAUACAAUGGUCGGAACAGAGGGUUGCCAACCCGCGAGGGGGAGCUAAUCCCAGAAAACCGAUCGUAGUCCGGAUUGCACUCUGCAACUCGAGGGCAUGAAGCUGGAAUCGCUAGUAAUCGCGGAUCAGCAUGCCGCGGUGAAUACGUUCCCGGGUCUUGUACACACCGCCCGUCACACCAUGGGAGUGGGUUUUACCAGAAGUGGCUAGUCUAACCGCAAGGAGGACGGUCACCACGGUAGGAUUCAUGACUGGGGUGAAGUCGUAACAAGGUAA
rnacentral:rRNA from 1 species